UACAUGGGGUGCAAACGUUGCUCGGAAUUAUUGGGCGUAAAGCGCGCGUAGGCGGUUACUCAAGUCGGAUGUGAAAGCCCUCGGCUUAACUGAGGAAGUGCACCCGAAACUGAGUAGCUAGAGUACUAAAGAGGGUCGCGGAAUUCCCGGUGUAGCAGUGAAAUGCGCAGAUAUCAGGAGGAACACCAGUGGCGAAGGCGACUUCCUGGCCUGUUCUUGACGCUGAGGCACUAAAGCGUGGGGAGCAAACAGG
rnacentral:rRNA from 1 species